GUAGCAGGACGCUUGUGUCGCUUGCCGAUGGAGGUUGAUCUCCGGAGCGGCAAGAGGAAAGUCCGGGCAACACAGAGCACCAUACUUUCUAACAGUGAGCUGUCGGUGACGGCAGAGUAACGUGACAGAAAAUAACAGCCCGCUCCCUUUUCAAAGAGAGUCAGGCAAUGGUGAAAAGGUGGGGUAAGAGCCCACCGGGUGUCGUGGCGACACGGCAUGCCGCACGUCUUAUGGGUUGCAAGGCCAUGUAUACCGGCACGUUGACCGGCUGUGUAAUAAUAGCGUCAACAAUGGGUUGCUCGUCCAUCG
rnacentral:RNase_P_RNA from 1 species